UACGUAGGGUGCGAGCGUUAAUCGGAAUUACUGGGCGUAAAGCGUGCGUAGGCGGUUCGUUGUGUCUGUGGUGAAAGCCCCGGGCUUAACCUGGGAAUGGCCAUGGAAACUGGCGAGCUGGAGUGUGGCAGAGGAGGGUGGAAUUCCGCGUGUAGCAGUGAAAUGCGUAGAGAUGCGGAGGAACACCGAUGGCGAAGGCAGCCCUCUGGGCUAACACUGACGCUGAGGCGCGAAAGCUAGGGGAGCAAACAGG
rnacentral:rRNA from 1 species